rnacentral:rRNA from 1 species
UCUGGUUGAUCCUGCCAGUAGUCAUAUGCUUGUCUCAAAGAUUAAGCCAUGCAUGUCUAAGUAUAAGCAAUUUAUACAGUGAAACUGCGAAUGGCUCAUUAAAUCAGUUAUAGUUUAUUUGAUAGUACCUUACUACUUGGAUAACCGUGGUAAUUCUAGAGCUAAUACAUGCUAAAAACCCCGACUGCUUGGGAGGGGUGUAUUUAUUAGAUAAAAAAUCAAUGCCCUCGGGCUCUUUGAUGAUUCAUAAUAACUUGUCGAAUCGCAUGGCUUUACGCCGGCGAUGGUUCAUUCAAAUUUCUGCCCUAUCAACUGUCGAUGGUAGGAUAGUGGCCUACCAUGGUGGCAACGGGUAACGGGGAAUAAGGGUUCGAUUCCGGAGAGGGAGCCUGAGAAACGGCUACCACAUCCAAGGAAGGCAGCAGGCGCGCAAAUUACCCAAUCCUAAUUCAGGGAGGUAGUGACAAUAAAUAACGAUACAGGGCCCUUCUGGGUCUUGUAAUUGGAAUGAGUACAAUGUAAAUACCUUAACGAGGAACAAUUGGAGGGCAAGUCUGGUGCCAGCAGCCGCGGUAAUUCCAGCUCCAAUAGCGUAUAUUAAAGUUGUUGCAGUUAAAAAGCUCGUAGUUGAACUUUGGGCCUGGCAGGCCGGUCCGCUUUUUGGCGAGUACUGACCCUGCCGGGCCUUUCCUUCUGGCUACCCUCCCCUCUGGAGAGGCGAACCAGGACUUUUACUUUGAAAAAAUUAGAGUGUUCAAAGCAUGCCUUUGCUCGAAUAUAUUAGCAUGGAAUAAUAGAAUAGGACGUUUGGUUCUAUUUUGUUGGUUUCCUAGGACCAUCGUAAUGAUUAAAUAGGGACGGUCGGGGGUGUCUUCACUUAUGUGUUAUUGUCGAUGCGUAGUUGACUUCUCAAUUGUGUCGUAUAAGACUUCGCUAUUUCACGACCCAUAUCAAGUUUGCGUUUCACAGACAACGAAAUACAAAUCAAUACCAAGAAGUACCAUCAAAUCGCAGAAAGUGGAAAUACCGUGGUAUUUAUACGAUCAUUGUGUACGCUUCAUCAAGUUGUUGUU